AAUUAACAGGAUUUACGCAGGCGCGCUCCUUAAUUGAACUAUACCCCAGAAGUUAUGGUGGUCGUCGCCUACUCUCCUCGACCCCGCCCGAUGUACGUAACCUUAAUGUCCUUGCGGUAUUCUAUAUAAUGACUACAUACAAAAGGUCGGUUUUAUGAAUCAUGUUGACGUUUUGGCGAGUUCGAAAUAACGACAAAAAGCAUUAAAAAAAUUGUCAUUUUUGAGUGUUAUUAUUAUAUCAUUAUGUUUAAAAACAAAACUGACAUAUUUUACACGAUAGAUGGGCCACUGUUGUA